CUUCCUUAGGCAGGCUGUGGGGUCAGGCGCUCGAACAGCGCCUCAAGGGUGUUGAAACGUUCGUCGGGGCGUUCCAUCGGUACCAGGAAGC
rnacentral:tRNA from 1 species